UAGGGAAUAUUGCGCAAUGGGCGAAAGCCUGACGCAGCAACGCCGCGUGAGUGAUGAAGGCCUUCGGGUCGUAAAGCUCUGUCGGAGGGAACGAAUGCUCUUGAGGUUAACAGCCUCGGGAGGUGACGGUACCCUCAAAGGAAGCACCGGCUAACUCUGUGCCAGCAGCCGCGGUAAUACAGAGGGUGCAAGCGUUGUUCGGAAUCAUUGGGCGUAAAGGGCGCGUAGGCGGUUUGUCAAGUCAGUUGUGAAAUCUCCGAGCUUAACUCGGAACGGUCAACUGAUACUGUCAAACUAGAGUACAGAAGGGGCAAUCGGAAUUCUUGGUGUAGCGGUGAAAUGCGUAGAUAUCAAGAGGAACACCUGAGGUGAAGACGGGUUGCUGGGCUGACACUGACGCUGAGGCGCGAAAGCCAGGGGAGCAAACGGGAUUAGAUACCCCCGUAGUCCCUGAGCGGGCUGGCAAGGCGCAU
rnacentral:rRNA from 1 species